UGGAAAAAUGACUCGUUGAGAGAGGGGUUUGGGAGUCGUUGAACAAGUAAGUUAAAAAAUAAAUGCGUAUUAUAAGACAAUGAAAGUGUUUUUUGACCUU